GAGUAAAGAUUUCGGUCGCUUUGGGAGGAGCUCGCUUACUAUCAGCUUGUUGGUAGGGUAAUGGCCUACCAAGGCUAUGACGGUUAGGGGGUGUGAGAGCAUGACCCCCAGCAUUGGCACUGAAACACUGGCCAAACACCUACGGGUGGCUGCAGUCGAGAAUCUUCCACAAUGGGGGAAACCCUGGUGGAGCGAUGCUGCGUGCGGGAUGAAGGCCUUCGGGUUGUAAACCGCUUUUGUAGGGGACGAAAUUUUUGACGGUACCCUUUCGAAUAAGAGGUUGCUAACUCUGUGCCAGCAGCAGCGGUAAUACAGAGACCUCAAGCGUUAUCCGGAUUUACUGGGCGUAAAGCGUCUGUAGGGGGUUUAUUAAGUUCCAAGUAAAAUUUCAAGGCUCAACUUUGAAUUCGCUUGGAAAACUAAUAAACUGGAGUCUAGCAGAGGUGCAUGGAACUUGUGGUGUAGGAGUGAAAUCCGUUGAUAUCACAAGGAACACCAAAGGCGAAGGCAUUGCACUGGGCUAGCACUGACCCUGAGAGACGAAAGCGUGGGGAGCAAAACGGAUUAGAUACCCGUGUAGUCCACGCCCUAAACGAUGAAUGCUAAAUGUUCGGGGAUUCGACCCCCUGGGUGUUACAGCUAACGCGUUAAGCAUUCCGCCUGGGAAGUACGGCCGCAAGGCUAAAACUCAAAGGAAUAGACGGGGAUCCGCACAAGCGGUGGAGCGUCUGGUUUAAUUCGACAGUAAGCGUGGUACCUCACCAGGGUUUGACAUCCCUUGACAGCCUUGGAAACAAGGUUUCCUUCGGGCAAGGUGACAGGUGCUGCAUGGUCGUCGUCAGUUCGUGCCGUGAGGUGUUCCGUUAAGUCGGGAAACGAACGAAACCCCUAUUGCAUGUUACAAUUUCUCAUGCAAGACUGCCCGGAUAUACUGGGAGGAAGGUGGGGAUGACGUCAGAUCUG
rnacentral:rRNA from 1 species